UGUGACAUACCUUAAUGUUGCCUCGGCGGAUCAGCCCGCGCCCCGUAAAACGGGACGGCCCGCCAGAGGACCCAAACUCUAAUGUUUCUUAUUGUAACUUCUGAGUAAAACAAACAAAUAAAUCAAAACUUUCAACAACGGAUCUCUUGGUUCUGGCAUCGAUGAAGAACGCAGCAAAAUGCGAUAAGUAAUGUGAAUUGCAGAAUUCAAUGAAUCAUCGAAUCUUUGAACGCACAUUGCGCCCGCUGGUAUUCCGGCGGGCAUGCCUGUUCGAGCGUCAUUUCAACCCUCAAGCCCCCGGGUUUGGUGUUGGGGAUCGGCUCUGCCCUUCUGGGCGGUGCCGCCCCCGAAAUACAUUGGCGGUCUCGCUGCAGCCUCCAUUGCGUAGUAGCUAACACCUCGCAACUGGAACGCGGCGCGGCCAUGCCGUAAAACCCCAACUUCUGAAUGUUGACCUCGGAUCAGGUAGGAAUACCCGCUGAACUUAAGCAUAUCAAUAA
rnacentral:rRNA from 1 species